AAAGACAGUUAGUUACAUUAUGUUGUAGUUAGUUAAUAGUUAAUAUAGAGGUAAAAUUUAUUUAGUAACUUAAAAUUUUAUGCUAACUGAAUUACUGAAUCUGUGAAACCCUUGAGGGAAACUGGGAUUAGAUACCCCACUAUUCUUGGGAAUAAAAGGAAAAGUUCUACCAGAGCACUACGAACAAAAUAAAGUUUAAAACUCAAAGAGCUUGGCGGUGCUUUAUACCCUUUAGGGGAACUUGUCUCUUAAUCGACAAUCCACGUAAAACCUUACCCUUUCUUGUAAGCAAUUUGUAUACCGUCGUCGUCAGGUAACUUUUAAAAAUUUAUUAGUUAGCAAAAGAAUUCUAAAUUAAUUUAAACGUCAGAUCAAGGUGCAAUUUAUGGGAGGGUUGAGAUGAGUUACAAUUAUAGUCAAUAAUAAUACGGAAAACUAAAUUGAAAUUAUUAUCUUGAAGGAGGACUUAAAAGUAAA
rnacentral:rRNA from 1 species